AAAAAAUAAAUAUUACACCAAGUGUGCCUGCCUUUCAUUCCACCUCAUCCAUCUCUUCUGCCUCUGCCACCCCUGAGACAGGAAGAUUAACCUCUUUUCUGCCUUCUCCUCCUCAGCCUACUCAACAUGAAGACAAGAGGAAAAUACCUUCAUGAUGACACACUUCCUCUUAAUGAAUAGAUUCAGGAAGUACCGAAUGACGUCAAGGACCUAAUAUCCUCAAUUCUACCAGAACUGGAAGAAUUGGAAGAGGACUCUGAGCAUCAGAUAAGAACACCGGCUAGAUAACACCUUGGUUUCGGCCUUGUGAGACCAUGAGCAGAGAACCUAGCUGAAUGAUGCAGAAAAUCAGAAGAAUCCAAGAAAGAAAUUAAAAGGUCUUCAUAAUUCGGAAACUAGAGAUAGCCACAAUGGUCAUUUUAGUGUGUACAAUUUUGACAAUUUUUCUGUGUGUGGGGAUUGUGUAUGUGUGUGUAGUGUGGACACACAGAUGAGUAGGUGUGAUGAAUCACUGUUUUCCAUAAUUGGAAACAUAUCAUACAUAAUAUCUCCUAUUGUUUUACUCAACAUUA
rnacentral:lncRNA from 1 species